GACGAACGCUGGCGGCGUGCUUAACACAUGCAAGUCGAACAAUGAAGCUGGAGCUUGCUCUGGCGGAUUAGUGGCGAACGGGUGAGUAACACGUGAGAAAUCUGCCCUUGACUCUGGGAUAACUGCGGGAAACUGUAGCUAAUACCGGAUACUUUCCCUGGUGGGCAUCCACUGGGGAAGAGAGAAUUUCGGUCAAGGAUGAUCUCGCGGCCUAUCAGCUUGUUGGUGAGGUAAUGGCUCACCAAGGCGACGACGGGUAGCCGGCCUGAGAGGGUGACCGGCCACACUGGGACUGAGACACGGCCCAGACUCCUACGGGAGGCAGCAGUGGGGAAUAUUGCACAAUGGGCGCAAGCCUGAUGCAGCAACGCCGCGUGAGGGAUGAAGGCCUUCGGGUUGUAAACCUCUUUUAGCAGGGAAGAAGCGAAAGUGACGGUACCUGCAGAAAAAGCACCGGCUAACUACGUGCCAGCCGCCGCAGUAA
rnacentral:rRNA from 1 species